rnacentral:rRNA from 1 species
AAAGAACUAAAGCCAUGGCAUGUUGUAAGUAUAAGCCGAAUUAUACUGUGAAACUGCGAACGGCUCAUUAUAUCCAGUUAUAAUCCCUUCGGUAGUCUCCUUUAUACGGAUACCUCGCAGUAAUUCUGGAAUUAAUACGUCGCUUUAGGGGCCCGACUUUCGGGGAGGGCCGCACUUAUUAGGAUUGAAGCCAAUAUAUUGGUGAGUCAUGAUAAUUGAGCAGAUCGCUUUUCGGAGCGAUGAAUCGUUUGAGUUUCUGCCCCAUCAGUUGUCGACGGUAGGGUAUUGGCCUACGGUGACUAUAACGGGUGACGGGGAGUUAGGGCUCGACUCCGGAGAGGGAGCCUGAGAGACGGCUACCACAUCCAAGGAAGGCAGCAGGCGCGUAAAUUACCCAAUGUGGACUCCACGAGGUAGUGACGAGAAAUAUCAAUGCGGGGCGCUUCGCGUCUUGCUAUUGGAAUGAGAGCAAUGUAAAACCCUCAUCGAGGAUCAACUGGAGGGCAAGUCUGGUGCCAGCAGCCGCGGUAAUUCCAGCUCCAGAAGCGUAUGCUAAAGUUGUUGCAGUUAAAAAGCUCGUAGUUGAAUUUCUGGCGUGGGAGCCCGGGUCUCGGUGCGAAUGCGCCUUGUUUACCUAGCGGCUCCUUUGCCAUCCUUGUACGUCUUCAGACGUCCCUCCUUUCCUUGAAUCCAAACCAAAUGGUCCCAGCCAGCCCUAAGGCCCGGUUGGUUUUUUAGGGAAGAACCAAAUAGAACUCGGUGGCUUUUUUGUUGGUUUGCCCUCCUAAUUAUGGUUUAUUGGAACCGUCCGGGGGUUUCCCUUUUUUAGAACCUAAAGUUAAAUUCCUUGGAUUUCCGAAAAACCAACUUCCCCCGAAGGCAUUACCCAACCAUGUUUUCCUUAAUCAAAAACAAAAGUCUGGGGAUCCAAAAAUAAUUAAAUACCACCCCUAUUCCUAAACCGUAAACAAAUGCCAACCUUCCCAAUUCCGGGGUGGCUUAUUUAUUGGCCCUCCCCCCCCCCCCCCUGGAAAAAUCAAAAAUCUUUUUGUUUCCCUCCGGGGGAAUUUAGGUUCCCCAAGCCCUGAAACUUUAAUAGGAAUUUAUCUUGAAAGGGGCCCCCCCCCCCGAGGGGGGAACCCCCGCGGCCGUUUAAUUUUGAUCUCCUAACCCCGGGAAAAAACUUUCCCCAGUGGCCCCAACCCCAAAUUGGGAAAAUUAACCAAAAUGAGGGAAAACCCUUUUUCUUGUUUCCUCUCCCGGGGGGGGGGGGGGGGGGGGGCCCCCCCCUUUUUUGUUGUGGGGGGGGGGGUGUUUUUCCUGGGGGGUGUUUUUUGCUUUUUUGUACAAAAGAAAAAACCCCCCCCCCCCCCCCUCCAAAAACCUUUUUUCUUAAAAAAAAAGGGGCCCAAAUUUUGUGUAAAGGGUGUUCCUCUUUUAAAGAGGCACACCUUUGUUCGCCGCCUUUUUUGCCCCAAAACGGGGAAUUUUUAAAAGGGGGGGAAAAAAAAAAAAACCCCCUUUUUGAGAAAGGCCCCCCCUAAAAAAAUUUUUUUUCCCGGGGCGCGCGCCCCCCCCCCCCCCCCCCCCCAAAAAAAGGGGGGGGCCCCCCCCCCGCGGGGGGGGGGGUUUUGUCUUUUGUUUUUAAAAAAAAAAAAAAGGGGGUUUUUCUCCCCCAAAAAAAAAAGGGGGGGGGUUUUUUUUUUUUUAAAAAAAAACACCCCUCUCCUCCGGGGGGGGGAAAAAAAUUUUUUUUAUUUUUUUUUAUCUCCCCCCAACCUUAUUUUUUGAGGGCCAACCCCCCAACCCCUCUUUUUUAAAAAAACUUCCCACUUUCCCCCAAACCCCCACCCUACACCAGCAAAAAAAGCACUAUU